rnacentral:rRNA from 1 species
GACGAACGCUGGCGGCGUGCUUAACACAUGCAAGUCGAGCGGUAAGGCCCUUUCGGGGGUACACGAGCGGCGAACGGGUGAGUAACACGUGGGUGACCUGCCCUCAGCUCUGGGAUAAGCCUGGGAAACCGGGUCUAAUACCGGAUACGACUCCAUGACGCAUGUUGUGGGGUGGAAAGCCUUGUGCGGCUGAGGAUGGGCCCGCGGCCUAUCAGCUUGUUGGUGGGGUGAUGGCCACCAAGGCGACGACGGGUAGCCGGCCUGAGAGGGCGACCGGCCACACUGGGACUGAGACACGGCCCAGACUCCUACGGGAGGCAGCAGGUGGGGAAUCUUGCGCAAUGGGCGAAAGCCUGACGCAGCGACGCCGCGUGA